UUCCAUAACAAAGAAUAAGUAAUAAAACUCAAUCUAAAUCGUAAAUCAAACUAUUAAGAGAUAUGAUUAUUACGAUUUUGUGUAAAAAAAAAACAUUUAAAUUAUUGAAAUCAUCAGAAAUAUGAAUAGAUUUUUUUCAAAUGACAUUUCACAUUCCAUAUUUUAUUUAUUAAAUGAUUUUGUACAAGGUUUGUGUAAAUUGGAAAGGGGGUUGCUCUUCGUUUGUAAAUUACACAUUCAGUUGUUGGUAAGCCAAACGCCAAAAACGCUAAA